rnacentral:rRNA from 1 species
GCAUAUCAAUAAGCGGAGGAAAAGAAACUAACAAGGAUUCCCCUAGUAAUGGCGAAUGAAGAGGGAAAAGCUCAAAUUUUAAAUCUACCUGGUUCCCAGGUCGAAUUGUAAUUUGAAGAAACGAUAUCGGUGUUAAGGUCUGGUUCAAGUUCUUUGGAACAAGACAUCAUGGAGGGUGAGAAUCCCGUGCAUGAUCAGACCGAGAUACUUAAUAUUCGUUCUCUAAGAGUCGAGUUGUUUGGGAAUGCAGCCCAAAAUGGGUGGUAGACUUCACCUAAGGCUAAAUAUCAGCGAGGGACCGAUAGCGAACAAGUACUGUGAAGGAAAGAUGAAAAGAACUUUGGAAAGGGAGUUAAAUAGUACGUGAAAUUGUUGAAAGGGAAACGAUUGAAGUCAGUCAUGCUAGUGAAAAUUCAGUUUGGCGGAUUUUGGGUUUAGGAGUAGAGGCAGGGUCAAACCGUUUCUCUUUUGAACUUGGAAUUUGUCAGAUGCACUUUUUCUUUGGCAGGUCAGCGUCGAUUUCGGAGGUUGUAAAAUACUUGGGGUAAAGUAGCUCUGCUUCGGGAGAGUGUUAUAGACCUUGGGGGAUGCAGCCUGCGGGAUCGAGGAUUGCAGCAAAUACCUUUGGCUUGUCGCCUGAUCUCUGGAUGUUACCUCGCUUGCAACAACAUUCUUGUUGCCGGCGAGUACUAAUGCCUAUUAGGUUAGAGCGAUCAAAAAUUUUGCUAAGGAUGCUGACGUAAUGGCUUUAAACGAC